GAUGAACGCUAGCGGGAGGCUUAACACAUGCAAGUCGUGGGGCAGCAUUAGGUAGCAAUACUUAGAUGGCGACCGGCGCACGGGUGAGUAACGCGUAUGCAACCUACCCAGUACAGGGGGAUAGCCCGGAGAAAUUCGGAUUAAUACCCCAUAAUGAUAUUAAGAGGCAUCUUUUAAUAUUUAAAGCUUCGGCGGUACUGGAUGGGCAUGCGUAAGAUUAGCUAGUUGGUAGGGUAACGGCCUACCAAGGCUCCGAUUUUUAGGGGUCCUGAGAGGGUGAUCCCCCACACUGGUACUGAGACACGGACCAGACUCCUACGGGAGGCAGCAGUGAGGAAUAUUGGUCAAUGGGCGCAAGCCUGAACCAGCCAUCCCGCGUGAAGGAAGAAUGCGCUAUGCGUUGUAAACUUCUUUUCCGGAGGAAUAAAAUCUUGUACGUGUACAGGACUGAAGGUACUCCGGGAAUAAGCAUCGGCUAACUCCGUGCCAGCCGCCGCAGUAAAAC
rnacentral:rRNA from 1 species